GAUGCGAUAAAAUAAACCUGCUAAAUUUAACUACUGGUGUUAACCCCCAGCCGCGUCA
rnacentral:tRNA from 1 species